GACGAACGCUGGCGGCGUGCUUAACACAUGCAAGUCGAACGGAAAGGCGCUGCUCUUGUUGGUUGCUCGAGAGGCGAGGGGGUGAGUAACACGUGAGGAACCUGCCCUUGACUUUCUGAUAACAUCACGGAACUCGGGCGCAUAUAGUAUAGGAUCUCCUGAUUCAUUUGGUUGAUUGGAAAGGGUCGGCGGUUGGGUCUGGACUCGCGGGUUAUCAGCCUGUUUGUGGGGUUGUUGCGUACGCAGGCUUCGACGGGUAGCCGGCCUAAGAGGGUGACCGGCAACAUUGGGACUGAGAUACGGGGCAGCAGCCUAGGGGAGGGAGCAGUGGGGAAUAUUGCAAAACGGGGGGAAGGCUGAUGCAACAAAGCCGCGCGCGGGAUGAAGGCCUUUGGGUUGUAAACCGCUUUCGCCUGUGACGAAGGGUGAGUGACGGUAAUGGGUAAAGAAGCACCGGCUAACUACGUG
rnacentral:rRNA from 1 species